rnacentral:rRNA from 1 species
GAUGAACGCUGGCGGCGUACCUAAUACAUGCAAGUCGAACGCUGGAGAUCUAGCUUGCUAGAUCGAAGGAGUGGCGAACGGGUGAGUAAUACAUAAGCAACCUACCCACGAAGACUGGGAUAAUCUCUGGAAACGGGGACUAAUACCGGAUAGGUAAUCGGAAGGCAUCUUCUGGUUAUUAAAGGUUAAAAACACUGGUGGAUGGGCUUAUGGCGCAUUAGUUAGUUGGUGAGGUAACGGCCCACCAAGACGAUGAUGCGUAGCCGGCCUGAGAGGGUGAACGGCCACAUUGGGACUGAGACACGGCCCAGACUCCUACGGGAGGCAGCAGUAGGGAAUUUUCGGCAAUGGGGGCAACCCUGACCGAGCAACGCCGCGUGAGUGAAGACGGCCUUCGGGUUGUAAAGCUCUGUUGUAAGGGAAGAACGGUAGAUAGAGAAUAUCUAAGUGACGGUACCUUACCAGAAAGCCACGGCUAACUACGUG